GUAUGAUGCCAAAUGCAAUUUUGUCGUAUUUCAGACAAGGUGGUCUUGUUUGCUCAAACAUUUCUGAGUGUUUCAUUAGUGGUUUUUGUAACCACAUUUAUUUUCUGCCCAAGUAGGCUGCUUUUUUUUGGAAUAAUCAGCCAAAUUUGUAUAUUCAUUUAUUGAGCAGGUGUCUCAUUAGUGGUUUUUGCAACCACAUUUAUUUUCUGCCCAAGUAGGCCGCUUUUUUUUUUUCAUAAUCAGGCAAAUUUGUAUAUUCAUUUAUUGAGCAGAAAUGGAGUACGCACAAGCAGUA